rnacentral:rRNA from 1 species
GUGAGGAAUAUUGGUCAAUGGACGAGAGUCUGAACCAGCCAAGUAGCGUGAAGGAUGACUGCCCUAUGGGUUGUAAACUUCUUUUAUAAGGGAAUAAAGUGAGGGACGUGUCCCUUUUUGUAUGUACCUUAUGAAUAAGGAUCGGCUAACUCCGUGCCAGCAGCCGCGGUAAUACGGAGGAUCCAAGCGUUAUCCGGAUUUAUUGGGUUUAAUGGGAGCGUAGGUUGACAUAUAAGUCAGCUGUGAAAGUUUACGGCUCAACCGUGAAAUUGCAGUUGAUACUGUAUGUCUUGAGUGUACAAGAGGUGGGCGGAAUUCGUGGUGUAGCGGUGAAAUGCUUAGAUAUCACGAAGAACUCCAAUUGCGAAGGCAGCUCACUGGGGUACAACUGACACUGAGGCUCGAAAGUGUGGGUAUCAAACAGGAUUAGAUACCCGUGUAGUCC